AUUCAUCUGUCGAUGGACACUUAGGUUGCUUCCAUGUCCUGGCUAUUGUAAACAGUGCUGCAAUGAACAUCUACACCAUAUUUGUAAAGGUGCCAUCUGGAGUUGCCAGCACACCCUGCCUCAUUAUACUCCUUGUCUGCCAUGCCCCAGUCACUAUCCCAACCUCUUGCUUCUCUUAGUCCUAUUUGGAUGCUGAGUCUGGGGUACAGUAAAAGGUGUAGGGAUGAGGGCUUUGACUAUCCCUUCUCUUGCUUAAAAAAAUUCUUUGUCCUUCUUCCUAAUGGAGAACUAAAAGUUUUCCCUUGAAAAUGAAUUAUAGCACCAUCUUUAUAACAAAAGAAGCACUUUGCACCAAUCAUACUGUCUACUAAUUCACAGGCACUGGAAAAACGAGUAUAUAUGGAAAAAACUGGUUCUUGGUAAGAACAUGUCUUAAUUUUCAGAGAGGUAAUUCUUGGCCAAAAGUAGAAAUGGGGGUACUUCUGUGUCAGUAAGUGACCCCACUGAACGCACAGCAAUCGUGCCAUAUGGAGAGUUUCAGUGUGGCUCCUUCUGCAACAUUUACCUCUUGGCAUAUUGUUUCUGGAAUGCAGCUUGUUCUUAAAGAAAGAAAACUAGUUUUGGAGUCUUCACAGCUAGGUUCUUCCCCCUGCUGGGACCAUUUGUCCACAACCUACUUGAGCUCUUGACUUCCUGUCCUAGGUCAGGAGGUAACUAACAGCUCAAACUUGAUGUUCAGAGAACACACUGGCUCUGGGUAUGAGGUUUGCUUCUGGUUACCUCACUCCAGAGGCCAAAUGCCCAGUUCCGACGACUAGGUCUUACUUUAAUAUCACGUUCUUUUGGAACUGUGGCUAUGUUCUAGUUUCGCUGGAGUGUCCUAUUCCUGAUUCUUGUGGCUGCUUUCCACUCAGGGGGUCUACUUUCCUGUGGCUUUUCCUUUAUUUCCCAUUAGCAAACUCCACCUGUUUACCCGCAGGAAUAUACAAACUCUUUCCUGGACCAUCCUGGACACUGUGCUGUUGGGAUGCUCUGUUUCACCACCUGCAUGGACUUCCCACACUGGAAGGGGAGACCAGCAAGUUAGAGGUCAAGGGCUUACCCACCUGCUCCAUCUUACUGCCUUGAGCACUACAGGGGAUUAAAUGAGGAGCAAGGAGAAAAGAUAGGAAAACUUACCACUGAAAUUAACGUGGACUAGGAUCUGAGUCUAAGGAAGAGGCAAAAGUAGGAAGGAGAGAUUUUAUAGCUGCUACAACAAAGAAGGACAGUGAAAACCUUAAUUAAUUUUGCUAUUCUACAGUACAGACGAAAUUCUAAAUGCACAAGUUAUGAAAUGAAAAGACUAAGGUACUGUAAUAGGUAAGGUAAGGUAACAUUCAGGCAGGAUGUUUUGGGGCACUAGACCUAAGCACAAAAAGAAAAACUCUUAGGCUGGAAAUAAACGAAAUCACUUCGUAUUCAUAAUUCGUAGCUAAGAAAAUACAUCUGUGCUAUUCCAUCAUUCAACAAAACUUUAUAAAACACCUACAGGAUAUGAAGCCCUCUCUCAGGUUUUCUACUCAAAGAAAACAUAGAUUUGUAUAAAGAUAAUAUAGAAUAGUCCAAUCAGAGACAAAGUACAACUGGGGAGCGGCAGAGAAUGGCAUACAAACAGUAAGAUAUUAGAAAUCUUAAAAAUUCACUCUCUCUGCACUUAUAAGGCAUGUGUUGGUUUAUUCAGCGGCAGUUGCUUCCAGAACAGAAAAAAAAAACACAACAGGUUCAUUGUAAUAUCCAUCGCGCUCAUUUUUUUCAAAGCCACGUUCUGGAUGGAUCCUUCAUGUACCAAGUUAUAGAAACUAAAAUGCAUAUUUCUGCUGAAACGGAAAGUUCCUGAUUGGUAAGUUGGUGCUGGCUUGCCUCUGAGUUUAGUGAAUGUCACAUUCUUACUGUUUCAAGUUCUGACAGGCUCAGGCCUGGCUCAAUCUGGAGAAAUAAGGAGAUUCAGUGCUGGGGAUCUAAGACUGCUGUAGCCAUAAACCAAGAUGCUUCCUACAGAGAGUUACAACUGGGAACAGAUGGUACCUGUCAUCCCACUAUACCAAACAUGACCUCACCAGCCCCUCUAACCUUCCUCAAUUUGAGCCAUAGCAUCUUUCCACGAAUUUGCGGCUUGUUGAUGGCCAGCACUUGACGCUCCUGGAAAGCCACUGUUAUCCUCAUCUGGAUGGUAAAUACCAAACUCUAGUGGGCAUGAGAAUCUACUGGAGGGCACAUCAAGCAUGCAACUCACCACCCUAUCCCUUGGGUCUGCAUUGAGUCCCAUGAAUCUGCUUGUAUAUGAAUCAAGGAGUGAAAGCGAUUCUGCACAUUCGACAGAAGGUGUUCAUGGUCAACGUUUCUAGGAUCAGGGCUGCCGCUUGUCAGGUCGUCUCCAGCAGGUCCCUGUUCCUUGGCAGCAGUGUCUGCACUAAAAGAUUUAUUGACAGGGUGAUGUGGGCAGAUGCAGUCACAGUGGGCUCAACACUCUGAGAAUAGACUCCUCUCAGACCGUAAAAAAUUCUGAUCUUUUCUACAGCUUGAUCUAAGCCUAUGGAAAUCAAAAGCUUUGGCCCCCGCUGGAUAUCUUUACUCUCAAAUUCUGGUUAUUAAAGGUGGUAAAAAUGUA